UACGGAGGGGGCUAGCGUUGUUCGGAAUUACUGGGCGUAAAGCGCGCGUAGGCGGAUCUGCAAGUCGGGGGUGAAAUCCCGAGGCUCAACCUCGGAACUGCCUUCGAUACUGCGGGUCUCGAGUCCGGGAGAGGUGAGUGGAAUUCCUAGUGUAGAGGUGAAAUUCGUAGAUAUGGGGAGGAACACCGGUGGCGAAGGCGGCCAUCUGGACGGUAACUGACGCUGAGACGCGAAAGCGUGGGUAGCAAACAGG
rnacentral:rRNA from 1 species